GAUGAACGCUAGCUACAGGCUUAACACAUGCAAGUCGAGGGACCGGCGCACGGGUGAGUAACACGUAUCCAACCUGCCCUUUACUCGGGGAUCGGCUUUCGAAAGAAAGAUUAAUACCCGAUAUCAAGGAUGGGGCUGCGUUCCAUUAGGUUGUUGGUGAGGUAAAGGCUAACCAAGCCUUCGAUGGAUAGGGGUUCUGAUAGGAAGGUCCACCACAUUGGAACUGGGACCCGGUCCAAACUCCUACGGGAGGAAGCAGUGAGGAAUAGUGGUCAAUGGGCGCUAGCCUGAACCAGCCAAGUAGCGUGAAGGAUGAAGGCUUAUGGGUCGUAAACUUCUUUUAUAUAAGAAUAUGUAUUAGAUGAAUAAGGAUCGGCUAACUCCGUGCCAGCAGCCGCGGUAAUAC
rnacentral:rRNA from 1 species